GCUUCUCUCCUCCAGGCUGUGGGAGCCCACUUGACUGUACUGAGGGAAAAGAGGCCGGGCCUGAAAGAGAGCGGAGGAGGAGGAGAUGGUCCAGGGCAGGGCCUCCUAGGAGACGAGGGCCGAGCAGCCCAGCGAGGGGACGGGACUCUCAAAGGAGGGAGCAGGGUUUCCAGAGGUUGCCAAAGAAAUGCCUUUCUUUUGAAAUGUCUUCUGGGUCUCCAGCCUAGUUUCAAAUUCUGAAUAGAGAAGAAAGAAGAAAAAAAGGGAAGAAAGUGAAUGCCUUCUAUGUCCUAAGUGGGAAGAAAAGAAACUGACUGUAACUCCUGCCCUGUGUAUCUACUCUCUCUAAGUGCUUAGUCAACUCUCCACCUGUGGAACCAACCAUUUUUAUCCUCCUGACUUCUGGAGAGUGGCAAGGUUGUCUGUCUGUCUUGGCUUCCAAUGUUCAGAACAUAAAGGCACAAUGAAAACAAGUUCAUUCAAAUGGCUGUAAGGUUAAAAACUAAUUUCUUUCUUCACAAGUGAUGAAAUAAUAAAAGGACUUAGAAGAGCUGAAUGACUGAAAAAGGGUCAUAUAAGUAAUAAAAGAAGUGGAGGAGCUUGCACAAGCAGAAAUAGAAGAUGAGAAGUAGGCAUUUCUAGAGUUUGGGAUCCGAAAAUACCCUAAUCAAUGGACACCUGUACUAUUACUCCUAAUUAGUCUCCCAACCUACACCACAAUUUGUUUCUUUCAAAUCCAAUGUGAAGACAAUAACUUGAUUAAUCUAGCUCCAACACUGAUUCAUGUCACUAACAUCUCAAAGUCCUCCAAUUGUUUACUUCUCUUUAACUGAUGGAUUUUUCUAAUUCUUCAGGACAGCAGGAGAGCUUCCAUCACCACACCACCCUUCUCCUAUCUAGACAUUAGCCUGCAUAUCAGCCUGAAUUUGCCUAAAGAGGCUUGCUCUAGACUAAGUUCACAGAAUCACAGCCCUCUGAGUUGGAAAGAACAUUGACCUAGUCAAACUCAUUUCUGAGCAAGAAGAGCUUCUAGG